rnacentral:rRNA from 1 species
UGCCAGACUCCUACGGGAGGCAGCAGUGGGGAAUAUUGCACAAUGGGGGAAACCCUGAUGCAGCGACGCCGCGUGAGCGAUGAAGUAUUUCGGUAUGUAAAGCUCUAUCAGCAGGGAAGAAGAUGACGGUACCUGACUAAGAAGCCCCGGCUAACUACGUGCCAGCAGCCGCGGUAAUACGUAGGGGGCAAGCGUUAUCCGGAUUUACUGGGUGUAAAGGGAGCGUAGACGGCGAUGCAAGCCAGAUGUGAAAGCCCGGGGCUCAACCCCGGGACUGCAUUUGGAACUGUGUGGCUGGAGUGUCGGAGAGGCAGGCGGAAUUCCUAGUGUAGCGGUGAAAUGCGUAGAUAUUAGGAGGAACACCAGUGGCGAAGGCGGCCUGCUGGACGAUGACUGACGUUGAGGCUCGAAAGCGUGGGGAGCAAACAGGAUUAGAUACCCUAGUAGG